UGGGGAAUAUUGGACAAUGGGCGAAAGCCUGAUCCAGCCAUGCCGCGUGUGUGAAGAAGGUCUUCGGAUUGUAAAGCACUUUAAGUUGGGAGGAAGGGUUGUAGAUUAAUACUCUGCAAUUUUGACGUUACCGACAGAAUAAGCACCGGCCAACUCUGUGCCAGCAGCCGCGGUAAUACAGAGGGUGCAAGCGUUAAUCGGAAUUACUGGGCGUAAAGCGCGCGUAGGUGGUUUGUUAAGUUGGAUGUGAAAGCCCCGGGCUCAACCUGGGAACUGCAUCCAAAACUGGCAAGCUAGAGUACGGUAGAGGGUGGUGGAAUUUCCUGUGUAGCGGUGAAAUGCGUAGAUAUAGGAAGGAACACCAGUGGCGAAGGCGACCACCUGGACUGAUACUGACACUGAGGUGCGAAAGCGUGGGGAGCAAACA
rnacentral:rRNA from 1 species